UACAGAGGUCCCAAGCGUUGUUCGGAUUCACUGGGCGUAAAGGGUGCGUAGGUGGUCAGGUAAGUCUGAUGUGAAAGCUCUGGGCUCAACCCAGAAAUGGCAUUGGAUACUAUCUGGCUAGAGGAAUGGAGGGGGGACUGGAAUACUUGGUGUAGCAGUGAAAUGCGUAGAUAUCAAGUGGAACACCAGUGGCGAAGGCGAGUCCCUGGACAUUUCCUGACACUGAGGCACGAAAAGCUAGGGGAGCAAACAGG
rnacentral:rRNA from 1 species